GCAAGUCAAGGAGAACAUUAUCUUCGGAUAAUAAGUAAACUGGCGAACGGGUGAGUAACGCGUAAACAACUUGCCUCAGAGAUUGGGACAACAUUGGGAAACCAGUGCUAAUACCAAAUAAUGCAGCGGGCUCUUCGGAGCACAGUUGUUAAAGUAGGCUUCGGCUUACACUUUGAGAUAGGUUUGCGUCCGAUUAGUUAGUUGGUAGGGUAAAAGCCUACCAAGACCAAGAUCGGUAGCUGGUCUGAGAGGAUGAUCAGCCACACUGGAAUUGAGAUACGGUCCAGACUCCUACGGGAGGCAGCAGUAAGGAAUUUUGCACAAUGGGCGAAAGCCUGAUGCAGCAACGCCGCGUGAACGAUGAAGUUUUUAGGAAUGUAAAGUUCUGUCGUAUGGGAAGAGAUCUUUCGAAUGUUAAUACCAUUCGUUAAUGACGGUACCAUACAAGAAAGCACCGGCUAACUUCGUGCCAGCAGCCGCGGUAAUACGAGGGGUGCUAGCGUNGUCCGGAUUUACUGGGCGUAAAGGGUACGUAGGCGUCUUAAUAAGU
rnacentral:rRNA from 1 species